GUAAUAAUCCACAAGUUUUUGCUAUUUGCUGAGGGAGAUGUGUAUAAUUAAAUAACCAUUUUCUUCUGUGUACGCAGAUACUAUACAAUGGGAAAAUACUAAUAAAAACAUGACUUUGCUUUAUCCAAGUAAUAGUAGUAGUAGUAGUGGUAUAACAAUUAUUAGCAGUAGUAGCAGUAGCGUCAUUAUUAUUAGUAUUAGUAUAGUUAGUAGUAGUAGUAGUAGUAGUAGUAGUAGUAGUAGUAUUAGUAGUAGUAGUAGUAGUAGUAUUAGUAGUGGUAUUAAUGGUGGUGGUAUAAUUAUUAUUAUUAUUAU
ensembl:lncRNA